rnacentral:rRNA from 1 species
CGUUAUCCGGAGUUACUGGGCGUAAAGGGCGUGUAGGCGGUUUGUUAAGUCUGGCGUGAAAGCUCUCGGCUAAACCGGGAGAGGUCGUUGGAUACUGGCAAACUAGAGGACGGUAGAGGCGUGUGGAAUUCCGGGUGUAGUGGUGAAAUGCGUAGAGAUCCGGAGGAACACCAGUGGCGAAGGCGACACGCUGGGCCGUACCUGACACUGAUGCGCGACAGCAUGGGGAGCAAACAGG